rnacentral:rRNA from 1 species
UACGUAGGUGGCAAGCGUUGUCCGGAUUUACUGGGCGUAAAGGGCGUGCAGGCGGUCUGUUAAGUGCAGGGUGAAAGCUCCCGGCUCAACUGGGAGAGGUCCUUGCAUACUGGCGGACUUGAGGGGGGUAGAGGAAAGUGGAAUUCCCGGUGUAGUGGUGAUAUGCGUAGAUAUCGGGAGGAACACCUGUGGCGAAGGCGGCUUUCUGGGCCCUACCUGACCGGCUGAGA